AGUGAACGCUGGCGGCGUGCCUAAUACAUGCAAGUCGAACGCGAAAGUCCUUCGGGAUGAGUAAAGUGGCGCACGGGUGAGUAAUGCAUGAGAACAUGCCCUUAGAUGGGGAAUAACGUUUGGAAACGAACGCUAAUACCGCAUAACCUCGAGAGAGUAAAGGUGGCGCCGCAAGGGCUACCGUCUAAGGAUUGGCUCAUGUCCCAUUAGCUAGUUGGCGGGGUAAUGGCCCACCGAGGCAACGAUGGGUAUGUGGUCUGAGAGGAUGAUCACACACACUGGAAAUGAGACACGGUCCAGACUCCUACGGGAGGCAGCAGUAGGGAAUAUUGCACAAUGGGGGAAACCCUGAUGCAGCAACGCCGCGUGAGUGAAGAAGGCCCUUGGGUCGUAAAGCUCUUUAGCGAGGGAAGAGGGUAGAUACGGUGAAUAAUCGUGUUUGCUGACGGUACCUCGAGAAUAAGCACCGGCUAAUUUCGUGCCAGCAGCCGCGGUAA
rnacentral:rRNA from 1 species